rnacentral:rRNA from 1 species
AUGGCCACCAUAGACGUAACACCACCCCCUCCUCUGGGAUGGCUCCUACAGGAUCCCCAUGAAAUUCGGGCACACUUCGACAUGUUUUAUAGGUCCCCGUUCUUUGUCGCUCCUAGGAGCGGCCUUUCCCUAGCCCCUGAUUGUUGGACCAGCCCCUAGCUGGUUUCUAACAUGGAGAACGCUGCCCUUAUGGCCCCCUUCUCCGAGGGCGAGGUCUGGGCUGCCAUUAGAGGCAUGAAGCCUACCUCGGCUCCGGGUCCGGACAGCCUCCCGGUUAAAUUCUUCCAGACUUUCUGGAACGUGAUUAAACAUGAGAUCAUGGCCAUCUUCGACGAGUUCUAUGUUGGGUCCAUCGACCUCGUACGCCUCAACUAUGGGAUCAUCUUGCUCAUUCCUAAGGUGCCUGGGGCUUCUGACAUCCGCUAGUUUCGUCCAAUCACAGUCAUCAAUGUGAUUUUCUGGAUUCUGGCAAAAGGGUACGCCAAUAGGGUGACCCUUCUUGCUGACUACCCAUCCCAACCAAUCCGCCUUCAUUCAAGGGCAGUAUAUCCUGGAUGGGGUGCUUGUUCUACAUGA